GUCUACGGCCUCGCCACCCUGAACCAGCCCGAUCCCGUCUGAUCUCGGAAGCUAAGCAGGGUCGGGCCUGGUUAGUACUUGGAUGGGAGACCGCCUGGGAAGAUCGGGUGCUGUAGGCA
rnacentral:rRNA from 1 species